rnacentral:rRNA from 1 species
AGAGUUUGAUCCUGGCUCAGGAUGAACGCUAGCUACAGGCUUAACACAUGCAAGUCGAGGGGCAUCAGUUUGGUUUGCUUGCAAACCAAAGCUGGCGACCGGCGCACGGGUGAGUAACACGUAUCCAACCUGCCUCAUACUCGGGGAUAGCCUUUCGAAAGAAAGAUUAAUAUCCGAUAGCAUAUAUUUCCCGCAUGGGUUUUAUAUUAAAGAAAUUCGGUAUGAGAUGGGGAUGCGUUCCAUUAGUUUGUUGGCGGGGUUAACGGCCCACCGAAGACUACGAUGGAUAGGGGUUCUGAGAGGAAGGUCCCCCANAUUCGGAACUGAGACACGGUCCAAACUCCUACGGGAGGCA